rnacentral:tRNA from 1 species
GGAGGUAUCGUUCAGUGGUAGAGCACGCGCUUGGCGUGCAUGAAGUCCUGGUUCAAUCUCCAGUGCCUCCA